UGAUCUGACUCAGUAAGAGUGUCUACCGACCGAAAAUAGUCGUGCCUGGUGCUUACUCUACAUUUUGACAUGUGUUUAUAAGGGAAGUAAGAGGGUCCCGUUAUUUCUUUCAAAUGGACAAUGAAAGAAGACGAAUGUCUGUGCAGUCAAUAGAUAUGACCACGAACUAAUAUCCACGUCCAUGAUAUGACGAUAGCUUUAGCAUGGACAAGUCCACAACACCAUCUGACACUUCGCCUCACAAUACUUCCUGGCAUUAGGGAGACCAUUUGGAAGAACAUUUUUCGUGGUUACCUCCCCUUCUGAUAGACGUCACUGUACAACUUUAUUAACGGGCAGUUACAGUCUUAGUGUACCUACCUCAUCAUGGUAACCCUGACAUUCUGGGAAGGAAGGCAGAAGCAGUGUACGUGAUCCUGAAAACACACAACACCUGCGCUGCUGUCCACCUCCGGAAUGAAGCUCUGCUAUUGAUCCUUGAGUUUAUGGAAUGGCAAUCGUCAGCACUUAUGCCUGAACAGUGGCUGGUUCACUGGGCUGAAAAUCGACUCAACAAACCUAAUGUCACACCCUGCAUUAUUAAACAAAUUUGAUUGUUUAGUUUGUUUUGUCAUUACAAUCUUGUCAGUUUAAA